ensembl:lncRNA
UGCUUGUGUCCUCCUGCAGAAGGGAGCUGGAACAGUUCUGGCACUGCUGGCUCACCGUGUCUUCCAUCCACCCUGUGUGCCGUGAGAGUAAACGUCAGAGGCAAGACGCGAAUGCCCUUCAGUGAGUCAUCUCUGGGUGGUCCUGCUCACUGAUUUGGGAUCUAACUAAUCUUUAAGCAGUGUUCUCCUCACCCGUAAUUUUCAAAUCAGAGCCUAAAUCUCACAGACAUGAAGGCAAUGGAACAGCAGCGUCUCUGUCUGCAAGGUGGUCUGCUAUGCAGUCGUGAUCACUCUGGUGGCCUUGGCGAACCUGGCCAGCACGGCACUGACCAUUACCAUUCGGAGAGACUGGGUUGUGAGCCAGGUGACAGCAGAGGCCAGCUGGCUGGUGAGCUGUGCCACCCCAAGACACAACGGAGCAUCACAGCUUCUCUAAUCUGCUGAGAAGUAGGUCUGGUGUGGUGAAUAGAGUUUGGGUGCUCUGAGAAAUGCAGUGCUGUAACCUUUAAGAGAACGUAUUUGGGAGUUCCUUUUGUGGCUCAGUGGGUUAAGAACCCAUUAGUAUCCAUGAGGAUGCGGGUUUGAUUCCUGGCCUCGCUCAGUGGGUUAAGGAUCCGGCAUUGCCACAAGCUGUGGUAUAGGUUGCAGAUGCAGCUUGGAUCUGGCAUGGCUGUGGUGUAGGCCAGUGGCUGCAACUUUGAUUCAGCCCCUAUCCUGGGAACUUCUAUAUGCUGUAGGUGAAGCCCUAAAAAGCAAAAAGAAAAAAAAAGAAAAGAGAGAGAAAGAAGGUAUUUGGAGUCAAAGAGACCUGGACUUGAAUCCAGCCAAAACCAACUACGGCUCCUACCAGCUGCAAGUUAACUAACUUCCCUAGACUUUACUUUGCUCAUCUGUAGAAUGGGGAAAUUAUGACAACCCCCCACCUUGCCAUCACUCAGUUUGGGGAAGGCUUCUGUGAGAUAGGGGAUUUGUGAAGCACUUAGCAUUGUAUCUGCAUGUAGGAAGCACAGAAGAAAUGGAUGAUGCCAUUAUUAUCAAAAAGAUGUACAGAGUGUACUUUGGGGAGAGGAGCCCCUUUGAAUAUAUUACAGAGGUUCUUUUUGGUAGUUUUAGAGUUGGAAAAUAAAUUACAAGAUUUCUUAAUUCUGGCCA